CUGUUAAAGGAGGAAAAACACAUAUAAAGGAAACUCAAAAACCACCAAAACCAUGCAAAGCAGGUGACAUCUUUAAAACAGACCUAUGAUCAGGAAAAAAUGCGGUUUUCAUGAAGAGUUUGUUCAUUAUCUUAAAUAUGCCUUAAUAAUCUACAAACGGGAACCUGGAGUGGAACAAGUGAUUAAUUUUGUGGCCAAGUUCAUUGCUUCCCUUUAUGAGCCAUUAGAAGAUGAAGAGGAAGAAACAGAAAAUUUGCUUCUGAAUUAUUUGUUCUGCUUUCUGCUUGAGGUACUUUACGAAAAUCUGAUAAUGGAUAGACAUUUUGGUAAUACAGAAGUAGCAACCCUACACCUGAACCUGGAAUUUUCCAAAAUCUACAACUUUUUGCAAGUCAAUUGCCUGUUUCUGCCUUUGAGCCAAUAG
rnacentral:lncRNA from 11 species